rnacentral:misc_RNA from 1 species
AAAGUCGUAACAAGGUUUCCGUAGGUGAACCUGCGGAAGGAUCAUUACAAGAAUUCCUUCGGGAACUCCAACCCUUGCCAAUUUACCUCUUGCUUGGUCGUUUCGGCCAAUCUACUACCUGAACACGUUGUCUGAGUGAGACUAAAUACACAAAACUUUCAACAAUGGAUCUCUUGGUUCGA